rnacentral:rRNA from 1 species
GACGAACGCUGGCGGCGUGCCUAACACAUGCAAGUCGAGCGAUGAAACCCUUCGGGGUGGAUUAGCGGCGGACGGGUGAGUAACACGUGGGUAACCUGCCUCAAAGAGGGGGAUAGCCUCCCGAAAGGGAGAUUAAUACCGCAUAACAUUAGUUUUUCGCAUGAAGGACUAAUUAAAGGAGUAAUCCGCUUUGAGAUGGACCCGCGGCGCAUUAGCUAGUUGGUGAGGUAAAGGCUCACCAAGGCGACGAUGCGUAGCCGACCUGAGAGGGUGAUCGGCCACAUUGGAACUGAGAUACGGUCCAGACUCCUACGGGAGGCAGCAGUGGGGAAUAUUGCACAAUGGGCGAAAGCCUGAUGCAGCAACGCCGCGUGAGUGAUGAAGGCCUUCGGGUUGUAAAGCUCUGUCUUUGGGGACGAUAAUGACGGUACCCAAGGAGGAAGCCACGGCUAACUACGUGCCAGCAGCCGCGGUAAUACGUAGGUGGCAAGCGUUGUCCGGAUUUACUGGGCGUAAAGGAUGCGUAGGCGGAUAUUUAAGUGAGAUGUGAAAUUCCCGGGCUUAACUUGGGAGCUGCAUUUCAAACUGGAUAUCUAGAGUGUGGGAGAGGAGAAUGGAAUUCCUAGUGUAGCGGUGAAAUGCGUAGAGAUUAGGAAGAACACCAGUGGCGAAGGCGAUUCUCUGGACCAUAACUGACGCUGAGGCAUGAAAGCGUGGGUAGCAAACAGGAUUAGAUACCCUGGUAGUCCACGCCGUAAACGAUGAGUACUAGGUGUAGGGGGGUCCAACCCUCUGUGCCGCAGUUAACACAAUAAGUACUCCGCCUGGGAAGUACGAUCGCAAGAUUG